rnacentral:lncRNA from 1 species
UCAGAGGUGUUUUUGGAGUUUCCAUAGGAGCUUUCACCUGUUUCAUGCUUCCUCCCUUCUUUUUGUUUUCUUCAACAAGAACAUUAACUUGCUCGAUUGAUCUAAUUGGUGGCUCAUCUUGAGAAAUUUCUUCCUCUAACUCUUCAACUACACCAACCCGGUAACAUUGAGGAUUUUCAUUCCGAUGACGCAUAGACUCAAAUACAUUAAAAGUCACUUGUUCAUUUUGAAACCUCAACAUUAGCUCAC